ACGGAAGGUCCAGGCGUUAUCCGGAUUUAUUGGGUUUAAAGGGAGCGUAGGCCGUCUGUUAAGCGUGUUGUGAAAUGUAGAUGCUCAACAUCUGAAUUGCAGCGCGAACUGGCAGACUUGAGUGUGCGCAACGUAGGCGGAAUUCGUGGUGUAGCGGUGAAAUGCGUAGAUAUCACGAAGAACUCCGAUUGCGAAGGCAUCUUACAGGAUCACAUCUGCCGCUGGAGCUCGUAAGUGCGUGUAUCGAACAG
rnacentral:rRNA from 1 species